rnacentral:rRNA from 1 species
CCCUUAGAUGUUCUGGGCCGCACGCGUGCUACACUGAGUGGAUCAGCGGGUCAGGUUGCGCGAAAGCGUUUCCUAAUCUUUAAAUCCGCUCGUGAUGGGGAUUGACGGUUGCAAUUUUCUGUCAUGAACGAGGAAUACCUUGUAAGCGCGGGUCAUCAUCCCGCGCUGAAUACGUCCCUGCCCUUUGUACACACCGCCCGUCGCUCCUACCGAUUGAGUGGUCCGGUGAGGCUUUGGGAUCUGAGCGGAAAGAGCGUUUCGCUGUUUCUGCGCGGAAAACUCAGUCGAACCUUAUCAUUUAGAGGAAGGAGAAGUCGUAACA